rnacentral:rRNA from 1 species
AGAUAGAGCCUUCCCCUUCGGGGGACAAAGUGACAGGUGGUGCAUGGUUGUCGUCAGCUCGUGUCGUGAGAUGUUGGGUUAAGUCCCGCAACGAGCGCAACCCUUAAGCUUAGUUGCCAGCAUUAAGUUGGGCACUCUAAGUUGACUGCCGGUGACAAACCGGAGGAAGGUGGGGAUGACGUCAAAUCAUCAUGCCCCUUAUGAUUUGGGCUACACACGUGCUACAAUGGACAAUACAAAGGGCAGCUAAACCGCGAGGUCAUGCAAAUCCCAUAAAGUUGUUCUCAGUUCGGAUUGUAGUCUGCAACUCGACUACAUGAAGCUGGAAUCGCUAGUAAUCGUAGAUCAGCAUGCUACGGUGAAUACGUUCCCGGGUCUUG